UCUACAUCUCGACAGUCCAGUUUAAUCGACCUCCGAAACAGGGUUAACUUGGUACCCAUUGAAGGCGUGUCUAAAAGUUGAGUGACACCAAUGUGCCAAUCAACCUCCCCAUAGGUAUCUUCCUUUCGGCACAGAAGACAAACUCAAUUACACAGUAACUUAUAGGAAAGAUUUCUUCUUGAAAUGGUGGUGAAGGGUACCAAAGCAAAAAGAUUGUAUUCCUCUCUCAGACACAAUGGAGUGGAAGUAAGAGUCUUAAGACGUCGACACCCCAUCCCACGACCCGUGAAUGUAGAUUGUGAAAGUACAUCUUCCCUUCCAGCACUUUGUGGAGAUGUUUUUAAAAGUCUUCCAAGUCACUCCAGAAUCGAUGAAACGAUUCUUUGGCUACAUCUUCCGCUAUUGUACAUGCAACUUACCAUCUACAACUGCCACUUUUCGACGCCGUCUGGCGUUUUCAGUCAAAGUGACUGUUCGUCUCAACCCAAUGCUAUUGAAUAGAGAAAUAUCAGAAGGAGAGAAUCGCUUAAGAAAUGAUUUCUCCCUGUGCCAGAGGAAAAGCAAGGUUGAAUCAUUGUUAGUCGCAUAACCGAAAGUUGCUAUAGGCUCUGUACUGGAUAUCCAAUUUUCCAGAUAUU